rnacentral:rRNA from 1 species
ACGAUGAUGCCCAGCUUGCUGGGUGGAUUAGUGGCGAACGGGUGAGUAACACGUGAGUAACCUGCCCCUGACUCUGGGAUAAGCGUUGGAAACGACGUCUAAUACUGGAUAUGAUCACUGGCCGCAUGGUCUGGUGGUGGAAAGAUUUUUUGGUUGGGGAUGGACUCGCGGCCUAUCAGCUUGUUGGUGAGGUAAUGGCUCACCAAGGCGACGACGGGUAGCCGGCCUGAGAGGGUGACCGGCCACACUGGGACUGAGACACGGCCCAGACUCCUACGGGAGGCAGCAGUGGGGAAUAUUGCACAAUGGGCGAAAGCCUGAUGCAGCAACGCCGCGUGAGGGAUGACGGCCUUCGGGUUGUAAACCUCUUUUAGUAGGGAAGAAGCGAAAGUGACGGUACCUGCAGAAAAAGCACCGGCUAACUACGUGCCAGCAGCCGCGGUAAUACGUAGGGUGCAAGCGUUGUCCGGAAUUAUUGGGCGUAAAGAGCUCGUAGGCGGUUUGUCGCGUCUGCUGUGAAAUCCCGAGGCUCAACCUCGGGCUUGCAGUGGGUACGGGCAGACUAGAGUGCGGUAGGGGAGAUUGGAAUUCCUGGUGUAGCGGUGGAAUGCGCAGAUAUCAGGAGGAACACCGAUGGCGAAGGCAGAUCUCUGGGCCGUAACUGACGCUGAGGAGCGAAAGCAUGGGGGAGCGAACAGGAUUAGAUACCCUGGUAGUCCAUGCCGUAAACGUUGGGCGCUAGAUGUAGGGACCUUUCCACGGUUUCUGUGUCGUAGCUAACGCAUUAAGCGCCCCGCCUGGGGAGUACGGCCGCAAGGCUAAAACUCAAAGGAAUUGACGGGGGCCCGCACAAGCGGCGGAGCAUGCGGAUUAAUUCGAUGCAACGCGAAGAACCUUACCAAGGCUUGACAUACACCGGAAACGGCCAGAGAUGGUCGCCCCCUUGUGGUCGGUGUACAGGUGGUGCAUGGUUGUCGUCAGCUCGUGUCGUGAGAUGUUGGGUUAAGUCCCGCAACGAGCGCAACCCUCGUUCUAUGUUGCCAGCGGGUUAUGCCGGGGACUCAUAGGAGACUGCCGGGGUCAACUCGGAGGAAGGUGGGGAUGACGUCAAAUCAUCAUGCCCCUUAUGUCUUGGGCUUCACGCAUGCUACAAUGGCCGGUACAAAGGGCUGCGAUACCGUAAGGUGGAGCGAAUCCCAAAAAGCCGGUCUCAGUUCGGAUUGAGGUCUGCAACUCGACCUCAUGAAGUCGGAGUCGCUAGUAAUCGCAGAUCAGCAACGCUGCGGUGAAUACGUUCCCGGGCCUUGUACACACCGCCCGUCAAGUCAUGAAAGUCGGUAACACCCGAAGCCGGUGGCCUAACCCUUGUGGAAGGAGCCGUCGAAGG